AAUUCUCAACCAUACCAACUUUGUUGGUUUUGGCUUGGACGUGGGGGAUUGUUUGCAGGCUUUCACAAGUCAGCUCCCCUGAAAUGCAUUAGCGGUGCCCUUUGUGGUCGUUACAGCUCUUGGUGUGAUAACUAUCUACGCCAUCAGUUGACCAUGGUUGUGCUGCUUCUAACGGUCUUCUUCAAUGAGACAACACAUGACAA
rnacentral:misc_RNA from 1 species